UUAGGGAAUUUCCACACUGGGCGCAAGCCUGAUGGAGUGACGCCGCGUGCAGGAGGAAGGCCUUCGGGUCGUAAACUGCUUUUAGAGGGGACAAAUACUGAUGGUACCCUCUGAAUAAGCCCCGGCUAACUACGUGCCAGCAGCCGCGGUAAUACGUAGGGGGCGAGCGUUGUCCGGAAUUACUGGGCGUAAAGCGCGCGUAGGCGGCGCGGCGCAUCUGCAGUGAAAGCCCUCGGCUCAACCGAGGGAGGUCUGUGGAGAUGGCCGGGCUGGAGGGCAGCAGAGGCAGGUGGAAGUCCCGGAGGAGUGGUGACAUACGUAGAUACCGGGAGGAACACCCGAGGCGAAGGCGGCCUGCUGGGCUGCGCCUGACGCUGAGGCGCGAAAGCUAGGGGAGCGAACGGAAUUAGAUACCCCCGUAGUCC
rnacentral:rRNA from 1 species